rnacentral:snRNA from 1 species
ACUCAUACCUUGCAGGGGAAAUACCAUGUCAUAAAAAUGGUUUUCUCAGAGGGAGGCUCAUCUGUUGCACUUUGGGUAUAUUGCUGAGCCCUAUGAUUUCCCCAAAUGUGGGAACUCAGCUGCAUAGUUUAUGUUAAUGAGGGGAUUAUAUUUAUGAUUUUCUUG